UUACCCAAACGGAGAUGUCUUUUACAGCAAUAAUAUUUAUUAUUUCGUUACAUAUUGUGGAAAAAAAAUAUUUUAUAGCAAAUUAGGUCAAGCCUUCUUUGGAGGGUACAAGGGUUUUUUUACACAAAAUAUUUCAUUAUAACAUGUUAAACAUUUAUUCACGCUUGUUUGUACAUGGUAGGCUAGCAUAUAUGGCUUGAAAGUUUACAAGGAACUUUUUCCAAAAACAUCAUGCUGGUCACUGAAGUUGAAAGAACUAAAAAAUGUGUACUUGAAUAGAUCCAUACUUAAACGUCAUGUAUAUUAAUUUCAUUGUAAUUCAAUAUUUAAAACCUUUUUUUUGGAACAUAUGGCACUGCAUGUAGUAAUCGCAUAUCUAUUAAGUGUAAAGUUAUUAAAUUUAAGAGUACGAUGAGAAAGAAUGUGGAUUUUCAAAUUUCCAUAUAUAGAUAUAAGAAAAUGUGGUAUGAGUGCCAAUGAGACAACUCUCCAUCCAAGUCACAAUUUGUAAAAGAAAAACCAUUAUAGGUCAAAGUACGGUCUUCAACACGGAGCCUUUGCUCACACCGAACAGUAAGCUAUAAAGGGCCCUAAAAAUGACUAGUGUAAAACCAUUCAAACGGGAAAACCAACGGUCGAAUCUAUAUAAAAAAUGAGAAACGAGAAACAAUUAUGAACCACAUCAGCAAACUACAACUACUGAACAUCAGGUUCCUGACUUAGGACAGGUGCAAAUAAAUGCAGCUGGUUUAAACGUUUUACCAACCUUCACUCUUACCCGGAACAAUAGUGUUACAUCACAACAUAGAAAGACAUACUAUAAAAUAUCAAUUGAAAUGGCUUAAAUCAAUCAAAAGACAUAUAAACACAAGUGAACAUACACUGAAUAAAUUUGAUCUAUGACACAAUGUAAAUACAAAAUCAAUAAAAAGAGGGGUGAAAAAAUAAAGGCAACAGUAGUAUACAGCUGUGAAAUGUUAAAUGAUUACAGAAUGUAAACCAUAACCUUGAACAAAUAACCUUGCCGCCAAAUAAUUAAAAGAAAAUAAUUUUGUAAGGUAGAGAACGGAAACAAUUAAAAAAAAAAUUUGUUGUUCAUAGUACGAAAAACAGAAGAUAAAAUUAUAGUCAUACUACACACUUAUUAAAGCUGGUAUAUAUUAAAGAUAGAGAAACAUUAAAUAAAAAAAAGCAUAACAAUUGUAUCAAUAGGUCAAAUAAACAUGAAAGUACGAUGAUUUGAGAGUACUCGCAGUUACUGAAAGCUAGUUAAAAGCCGAAUUCAAAUAAUAGUUGAAAAACCAUGCAUCAAAGACUAAAUUCAACCAAUGAUUUAGUAUUUUAACGCCAUGGACAGUUAAAGAAGACAUGACUUGUGCAAUGCUAAAAAUAAAAGUAUCGACAGGCUGUUGGAUAGUUAGGAGUAAACCUCUAUAUAGAAAAAAUGAACGUGGAUGUGUAUUUAUACAUCCCGCUUGAAAAAAAUACAAAUUUAGUUAUUUUUAAUUUGUUGAUGACAAAAUCGAUAUUUGUGCCCAUGUAAACUAUAUUCAAAGAUAUAAUUACAACAUUUGUAAGAUAACCUUUACUUAUAAGUUUGUUUAAAGGUUCGAUGAGUUUACACGGAUCACACAGAGAUCUGCCCUUUAAGUACAAUAUAACCGUCAAAUUUAGGAUGUGACAUACCGUUUUUAAUAAGUUUUCUACAUAUACAGCCAAAUUUACUUAUCAAAUCUUUGUGUUUAUAUUGAAACAUAAGAAGGAACAUAAUCCUAAUUUGGAAAACUGAAAUAUAUGACAUUGAACCAUUGAUUUAAAACAACUCAAAUUAUUAGAAGUUAAUUGUUAAUCAUGUUUUGUUUGCACAAGUUCCUACAGUCUGAUGUCGUUAGAAGGGGAUGGAAUUGGGGACGCAGGAGUGCCUGCAAGUGAAGCGCAACUACCAGAGAGACGAAGUGGACGGAAGAACUGUGAUGUCGCUUCACCGGCUAAUCAAGAUAUUAAAAUUGUAACUACAGGUGAAGUCUAAGCAUUAUUUUCUAUAAAAGACCAUUUCAAGGACAACAUCGCAUGUAAGGGUUUACAAAACCAGCAUUGAACGUACAAGCCACAUUUGCACAAGUAGAGAUACCAGAGCCUGUACCUAUGCAUAAUCACAGUGAAGUUCCUGUAUAAAGUCAGCCUCAUGAGAAUAAAGGAACAAGUCGUCAAGAAGAGGGGGCACAGUUGGUUCGACAGUUGAAGUCUGUACGGUGACCUAUAGUUGUAAACUACUAUGAAAUUGUGUCUCUGGUGGAGAAUUGAUACACAUUGCUGCUUGACAUAUUGAUUGUUGGUUCUUCAAAAUUUUGCCAUUCUCGAGAUCACUCAGAAAACAGCCAAUCAGAUGAUCCAGUCUUCGUAAAUGUUUCCGUCAUGGUAACAUCCUGCAAUACAUAUUUACUUACACAUCAGGAGCGUAUUCCACUUGAUUUUAUGCAGACUAUGGAUAUCCCAACUGCUACUUGUGAAAUAUUGCAGACUGGGCCGCCCUUCAGUACAGCAAAUUUAAAUCGCCAAGUUGUGAUACAAUGUUAUGAUUUUUUAUUUCGAUUGACAAUUAAUUUGGUUGUGUUAUGUAUGUUGUUGUAGUUGUUGUUUUAUUUUUUGAUUAAAUGUAUAACAAUGGCAA